CACCGCCCGUUGGGCCGGACGUGCCUCUGCGAGUCGGCCUUUGGGCGGACGUGGGACAGUCCAAUGUCAGCCUACUAAACGCGGAUAGCCUGCGC
rnacentral:SRP_RNA from 1 species